rnacentral:rRNA from 1 species
UCAGGCCUAACACAUGCAAGUCGAGCGGCAGCACGGGGGUAACCCUGGUGGCGAGUGGCGAACGGGUGAGUAAUACAUCGGAACGUGCCCAGUCGUGGGGGAUAACGUAGCGAAAGCUACGCUAAUACCGCAUACGAUCUGUGGAUGAAAGCGGGGGACCGCAAGGCCUCGCGCGAUUGGAGCGGCCGAUGGCAGAUUAGGUAGUUGGUGGGGUAAAGGCCUACCAAGCCGACGAUCUGUAGCUGGUCUGAGAGGACGACCAGCCACACUGGGACUGAGACACGGCCCAGACUCCUACGGGAGGCAGCAGUGGGGAAUUUUGGACAAUGGGCGCAAGCCUGAUCCAGCCAUUCCGCGUGCAGGAUGAAGGCCCUCGGGUUGUAAACUGCUAUUGUACGGAACGAAAAGGUUCUGGUUAAUACCCGGAGCUGAUGAC